rnacentral:rRNA from 1 species
UACGUAGGGGGCUAGCGUUGCUCGGAAUCACUGGGCGUAAAGGGUGCGUAGGCGGGCCUUUAAGUCAGGGGUGAAAUCCUGGAGCUCAACUCCAGAACUGCCUUUGAUACUGAGGAUCUUGAGUUCGGGAGAGGUGAGUGGAACUGCGAGUGUAGAGGUGAAAUUCGUAGAUAUUCGCAAGAACACCAGUGGCGAAGGCGGCUCACUGGCCCGAUACUGACGCUGAGGCACGAAAGCGUGGGGAGCAAACAGG